UACGUAGGGACCAAGCGUUGUCCGGAAUCAUUGGGCGUAAAGAGCGUGUAGGCGGCUUGUUAAGUCUUGCGUGAAAUCUCGGGGCGCAACCCCGAGCGGUCGUGAGAAACUGGCAGGCUAGAGUGCGGGAGAGGAGAGUGGAAUUCCUGGUGUAGCGGUGAAAUGCGCAGAUAUCAGGAAGAACACCCGUGGCGAAAGCGGCUCUCUGGAACGGUACUGACGCUGAGACGCGAAAGCGUGGGAGCGAACAGG
rnacentral:rRNA from 1 species